rnacentral:lncRNA from 1 species
UCCACUCGCGACGCCCCUCGCCGUGCGUCCGCCGGUCCUCUCACCGGAGCUCCGGCGACCCACCAUCACGGCUGCAUUGACCCAUCUAGGCUGCAUAUGGUAAACUUCCAGCCCAACAAUUUAUAUUCUUCUCUUCCCCAUAACAAAAAAAAAAAGAAUAAAAACCUGUUUGAUAACGACAAGUUAGUUUUUUGUUCUUUGGAAUAAAAAGUAAAGAUCAAUGACGGUCAGCAAGAGAAGAAUAAAAAAAAAAAAUUCACUUAUUUCUUAAACUUGUUCUCCCGACAGUUCCGAUCCGACGCCCCUGCAGCGCCUCCGUCCGCGAUCGCCCCCCCCCCCUUCUCCGAGCGACGCUUCCACAGUAGCUCUAUGCUCGCUACUACGGUGCCUCCACUCGCGACACCCCUCGCCAUGCGUCCGCCGGUCCUCUCGCCGGAGCUCCACGACCCACCAUCACGGCUGCAUUAACCCAUCUAGCUGCCAUUUGCUAACCCUCGCUUAAAGCCCAAAAUCCCAAUUAGGUAGUUUAUUUUAAUAUUUUAUUUUAUUUCAUUUUAAGUUUCACUAUUAUUAUUCAAAUUGGAACAUUGGAAUUUGAUCUUCGUUUUAUGAAUAUUGUAGGCAUUAUCCGAGGGGUUUUGUCCAG